rnacentral:lncRNA from 1 species
CACUCUUCUACUACCUUGACUAUUUCUCUGCAUUCCUAAACUUGAGGGAAACUGAAGGGCCUCCACCACUGCUUUGGCCAUUUAACAAGUCAUAAAAAGAAGAUAAGGUUUCUAUGUGUCUCUGCAUAUAUAUAUAUAUAUAUUACUGCAGCAAAAAUUACCCGGUCUUCAGCACCUCUUUGAAGGAAAGAAUACUUCUAAUCAGCUGCUUACAAAUAAUAAUGGGACCAAGAAUUAUUCACAGAAGAAAUUCCUCAAUAGCUGCAUGAAGCACAUAUACUUGAAAAGAAUUAUAAGGAGAGUACACAUGUGCCUGUAUCCAUCAAGUGACAUCAUACUCCUCAACAGCAAACAACAAACCUUUGACCCUUAGUAAGAAACCAAAAGCAACAACUACAGCAUGUCUCAGGAAAAUAGGAGUCUCCAAGA